UGGAAGACUGAAUUUAAUUCUUUCUACUAUACAGACUGCAACUGGGCACUUCUUCAAAUUACAAGACACAAAAAUGUAUUAGGUGCAAUUUGCCAGGCCUCAGAUCUUCAAGGAACUCCCCUGGUACUUGUUGACAGUCCUCAGGAAAAAUUGAAUUGUAUUAUAUUCCUUCAGAAACAUGGCAUUUUACUGAAGAGCCUGACUAAAUAAAAGGGAAACAAAGA